ensembl:lncRNA
AUGGGGUUUUCCGGGCAAGAAUACUGGAGUGGGUUGCCAUUCCCUUCCCCAGGGGAUCUUCCCGACCCAGGAAUCAAACCCACUUCUCACGUCUUCUGCAUUGGCAGGCAUGUUUUUUUUUCACCACUAGCGUCACCUGGAAAGACACCAAGGAGCUAUAAUCAUUUAUUAUUUUUGUUUCAAUGCUCCACUUGUGCCAGAUUUGUCCUCUUCAAGAUGGCUGCUAUGGCUCUUUGAUGCCCUUAUAAAUGUUUUUAAACUUUAUUGUAUUUAUUAUUUUUGGCUGUGCUGGGUCUUUGUUACUACACGUGGACUUUCUCUAGUUGUGGCAGCAGGGGCUGCUCUCUAGUUGUGGUGUGAGGGCUUCUCGUUGCCGUGGCCUCUCGUUGCUGAGCAGGGGCUCUAAAUCGCACGGGCUUCAGUAGUUGAGGAGCUGCUGCACGUGGGCUCAGUAGUGGUGCACAGGUUUAGUUGCUCCAUAGUGUGUGGGAUCUUCCCAGACCAGGGACUGAACUAUUCUCCUGCAUUGGCAGGAGGAUUCUUUACCACUGAGCCAUCGGGGAUGUCCCAAUAAAUGUUUUUAGUACUUACUUUCUUCAAGGAGCCCUGGCUUGUUUCUGUGGGAUAUUUAGAAAACAAGCUCUGGGAACUUCUGUAAAUAUCAGUGUAUCUAUCUAUCUAAUUUUUCCCAUAAAUUUUAUUUUACUUAAAAAUUAUGUAUAUAUUAUUUGGCUGCAUUAUGUCUUAGUUGUGGCAUGUGGGAUCUUUAGUUGAGGCAUGUGGGAUCUUUAGUUGAAGCAUGUGGAACCCCUACCAGGGUCCAAACCUGGGUCCCCUGCAUUGGGGGAGCAUGGCAUCUUAGCCCCUGGACCACAAAUCCCUCCUAGAAAUGUUAUACUGUUGCUUUCCAUUCCGGUCCCCCAUUUGUGUUCAUUUCUCUCAGCCCACAUUUGCUGCUCCAUACUUCCUCAGCAAGAACCCUAGGACCCAACCUGCCUGCACAUUUACUUAUGUGUUCAAUCCUACAGUACACUCCAAAUAGCUUCAGAAUUGCCAUGCCCUUACUAGAACAAACCGACCUAAGAAUUCAAGGUGUAGAGAUUUUUUUUUUCUUCAGCAGGUGUUUGAAAGUGACUUGAAUUAGUUCCAUUUUUUUUUCUGUUUUGCCCUUCAGGGUGUUAUUUUUUACUCAUCUACAAUAGAGUUGGGUUCAUUUAUUUACAUCUGUAUUCAGAUUUUAGGUACUCUGUUGAUUUAAUUGAGUAUGUUGACCAUUAACAUUACUUGAAAAGCCAAAACUAUAUGAAAAGGCUCAAAGAAGUGUCUCCCUCUCCCCAUUCAGGGUUCUGUUGUU